ACAAACCCUAACCCAAUUUGGAUCUUGACCAUUACCCAAUCUCAGAAAACCAUUGCCUAUCGCCUGAGUCCUGAUCGCCUCCUUGUUCUCUCUCGCCUCAUGUUCUUGACCUUGCCAGCGUCGUCGUCAUCUAUGGAUCUCUAUCCAUCUUGGAAGUCCGCCUACUCAUUCUCAUUUUCUCGAAUUUCACCUCAUGUUCGUGUCCUUAUGAACGCCGUUGUCAUCUGUUGAGCUUCAUCUCUUCCUUCUUGGCUCCUCGAAUCUCGCCUUGCAUUCAUGCCCUUGCAAGUGCAAGUAACAAGAGCACCUCUCGUUUACCAGUAAAGCUCCAUCCUCCUCCGGGUUCAACUACCUCUAUCAUCCUUGCCUCCCUGCUCCCUUAAUAGUCUGAACUCUGAAUCAGAUUCAAAUCUAUAUGGCUCACUCUCUCUGGUCUUUAAAACUUCAACUAAUCUCUGCUUUGCUUCUCACGAGCUUCUAGAGGAAGAGGUCGGAUUUCAAGGGAAGAAAUUCCAGGAAAUCUACUAUAUGAGGAAGCAAGUAAAUAGAAGGGUAGUGUGUCUGUAUUAAUUGUCCAUAGAAACUCUUCAGUCCAUGGAUAAUCUUUGGUAUUUAAAUGUUCUAAGGAAACCAUAGAGUAGGGGAAAAGGAAGAAUGUGUUCAAUUUAGUAUGAGUAAGGUACUGGGCUUCGAUGGUAAUUCACUUCCUUGUCUUAUGAAGGUAAGAAUGAUUCUUGCAACCGGAUAUCUUGCUUUUAACAUAUGAAUAUCUACUUUCCUUUAUGAUGUAGGUACCAUGCCUUUAUUGUUUUAUUCUCAGGAAAAUUACAGUUUCAUACUUCCUUUAGAAUAACACCAUAAUAGAGGUAAUUUGUAUGCGUA